rnacentral:rRNA from 1 species
UACGAAGGGGGCUAGCGUUGCUCGGAAUCACUGGGCGUAAAGCGCACGUAGGCGGACUCUUAAGUCGGUGGUGAAAUCCUGGAGCUCAACUCCAGAACUGCCUUCGAUACUGCCAUGACUCGAGUCCGGUAGAGGAGUGUGGAAUUCCCGGUGUAGCGGUGAAAUGCGCAGAUAUCGGGAGGAACACCCGUAGCGAAGGCGGCACUCUGGGCCGGAACUGACGCUGAGGAGCGAAAGCGUGGGGAGCGAACAGG